rnacentral:rRNA from 1 species
GAUGAACGCUGGCGGCGUGCCUAAUACAUGCAAGUCGAACGCAUUGUGGUUGAAAUGAUAUGAAGAACUUGUUCAGAUUUGAUUUUCAACAUUGCAAUGAGUGGCGAACGGGUGAGUAACACGUGGGAAACCUACCUCUUAGCAGGGGAUAACAUUUGGAAACAAAUGCUAAUACCGUAUAAUAAUUAAAACCGCAUGGUUUUAGUUUAAAAGAUGGUCUUGCUAUCACUAAGAGAUGGUCCCGCGGUGUAUUAGUUAGUUGGUGAGGUAAUGGCUCACCAAGACAAUGAUACAUAGCCGAGUUGAGAGACUGACCGGCCACAAUGGGACUGAGACACGGCCCAUACUCCUACGGGAGGCAGCAGUAGGGAAUCUUCACAAUGGACGAAAGUACUGAU